AAAGAUUGUCGUUUUAUACUGUUCAUAUCUAAUAUUUGUAUGUCUGUCUUAUUUGAAAAGUUUUUAUGAUUAGUAUUUUUAUUGUUAUUAAAUGAUAAAAUAUAAGUAAUACUUUAUUUAUGACUAUAUUUUUUAUGUUUUCCAUAAAGUUUUUAAAUAAGAUGGGCGGUCAAAUGCUGCACUUAAAAUGGGAUGAAAGUAGUAAGU
rnacentral:pre_miRNA from 1 species